GACAGAGGGUGCAAACGUUGUUCGGAAUUACUGGGCGUAAAGCGAGUGUAGGCGGUGUGGUAAGUCGGAUGUGAAAGCCCCGGGCUCAACCCGGGAAGUGCACUCGAUACUGCCACGCUAGAGUAUCGGAGAGGUUGGUGGAAUUCUCGGUGUAGAGGUGAAAUUCGUAGAUAUUGGGAAGAACACCGGUGGCGAAGGCGGCUCACUGGCUCGUAACUGACGCUCAGGCGCGACAGCGUGGGGAUCAAACAGG
rnacentral:rRNA from 1 species